GACGAACGCUGGCGGCGUGCCUAAUACAUGCAAGUAGGACGCAGUUGCGAACGGGUGAGUAACGCGUAGGUAACUACCUAUUAGAGGGGGAUAACUAUUGGAAACGAUAGCUAAUACCGCAUACUAGUAGAUGGACCUGGGUUGUAUUAGCAAGUAUGUAGGGUAAUGGCCUACCUAGGCAACGAUACAUAGCCGACUGGGGAGGGUGAACGGGCCAAAGGGGACUGAGACACGGCCCAGACUCCGACGGGAGGCAACAGUAGGGAAUCUUCGGCAAUGGGGGGAAACCUGACCGAGCAACGCCGCGUGAGAGAAGAAGGUUUUCGGAGCGUAAAGCUCUGUUGUUAAGGAAGCGGUACUUAACCAGAAAGGGACGGCUAACUACGUGCCAGCAGCCGCGGUAAUUC
rnacentral:rRNA from 1 species